rnacentral:rRNA from 1 species
UACAGAGGUCCCAAGCGUUGUUCGGAUUCACUGGGCGUAAAGGGUGCGUAGGCGGUCGGAUAAGUCUAAUGUGAAAUCUUCGAGCUCAACUCGGAAACUGCAUCGGAAACUAUCUGGCUAGAGGAUUGGAGGGGAGACUGGAAUUCUCGGUGUAGCAGUGAAAUGCGUAGAUAUCGAGAGGAACACCAGUGGCGAAGGCGAGUCUCUGGACAAUUCCUGACGCUGAGGCACGAAAGCUAGGGGAGCAAACAGG